rnacentral:rRNA from 1 species
UACGGGGGGAGCAAGCGUUGUUCGGAAUUACUGGGCGUAAAGCGUGCGCAGGCGGUUGUGCAAGACCGAUGUGAAAUCCCCGGGCUUAACCUGGGAAUGGCAUUGGUGACUGUACGGCUAGAGUGUGUCAGAGGGGGGUAGAAUUCCACGUGUAGCAGUGAAAUGCGUAGAGAUGUGGAGGAAUACCGAUGGCGAAGGCAGCCCCCUGGGAUAACACUGACGCUCAUGCACGAAAGCGUGGGGAGCAAACAGG